rnacentral:rRNA from 1 species
UACGUAGGGUGCGAGCGUUAAUCGGAAUUACUGGGCGUAAAGCGUGCGCAGGCGGUAAUGCAAGACAGAUGUGAAAUCCCCGGGCUUAACCUGGGAACUGCAUUUGUGACUGCAUUGCUGGAGUGCGGCAGAGGGGGAUGGAAUUCCGCGUGUAGUAGUGAAAUGCGUAGAUAUGCGGAGGAACACCGAUGGCGAAGGCAAUCCCCUGGGCCUGCACUGACGCUCAUGCACGAAAGCGUGGGGAGCAAACAGG